AACGAACGCUGGUGGCGUGCUUAACACAUGCAAGUCGAACGAGAAAGUUUCCUUCGGGAAAUUAGUAAAGUGGCGCAAGGGUGAGUAUCACGUGAAUAAUCUGCCCUCGAGAUCGGGAUAACAUGGUGAAAACUAUGCUAAUACCGGAUAAGACCACAUUUCAUAAGAAAUGCGGUAAAAGGGGUCUCAAUCUUCACUCGAGGAUGAGUUCGCGCAACAUUAGCUUGUUGGUGAGAUAAAAGCUCACCAAGGCUACGAUGUUUAGCCGGCCUGAGAGGGUGAACGGCCACACUGGAACUGAGACACGGUCCAGACUCCUACGGGAGGCAGCAGUGGGGAAUAUUGCGCAAUGGGCGAAAGCCUGACGCAGCAACGCCGUGUGAGCGAUG
rnacentral:rRNA from 1 species